AAACAAAGACGGCCCUAGUUCGAGACAUAAAACAUGGAAAACUAAUGUUUACUCCAGUCAAUUUUGACAGCUGGUCUCAAUUAAAAUGUUGCCUUUUCAGAUUCCUGUGCCACUAUUUAAUUGGUAGACAGUUUCAAAAGAUCUUCUAGUUUUUUCUACCAUUCCUUUUCAAAUUUCGUAACUAUUUUCAUCAGUCUGAUGCUGCUUUCAUUCUCCUCUUAUUCAUCUCAUAUCCUACAUCGCCAUCCUCUGUCAAUCUCUACUUCUGUAAUCUCUUGGUCAGCCGAUCUGCGAUCAAGGUAAGCAUUUUCUCCUGUUUUUAACCCUUUUGAAGCCAAAUUGUGCACUUUUUCAUUUGUUGAUCUGCCUAUAUGCUGAAAAUUGAUUUUGUAGAAGAACUUACUUAACUCUUUGAUAUCUUGGAUGUAGGACCCAAUAACUGAUUUAGCCCUUUUUGUGCUUUUGGCUUUCUUGAUCACUGUCAGGGAGUCUUUUUCAAUAUCAACAAAUUUUAGUCCCAGAUCUCUACCCAAAAUGACCGCUUGUAAACAUGCAAUGACUUCUGCUUCAAAUCCUAAAGGUAUAUUCUCAUGAAGUGUGGAUCUUGUUGCUACCUCAUUUCCUUUAUAAUCUCGGACAAUGAUUCCUAAACAUGAUUUGUUUGUUUUGAGAUCUACCGCUACAUCAAAAUUAAUUUUGUAGUAGCAUUUUCCCGGGGGUCUCCAAUUGUUAUUGCUAGGUUUUGAGGUAACCUGUGUUUGUUUAAUGUCCUUUAGCUCCUGUAGAUACUGAAGAAUAAAUUUUGCUACCUCUUUUCCUGAUUGCUUUUGACCUUCGUGAACCCAUUUUUUUCUAGCAGACCAGAUAGCCCAUAUGGCACAGAUGAAUUUUUGACAGUCUUCAGUAUUACUAGUGAGUACAAUCCAGGUAAACCAGUCUGUAAACUCUGCAUGAGAUAUAUUAUCAGGCCAUGUAACACUUAAAUAAUUCCAAGUUCCUUUUGUAACAACACAGUCCUGAAAGGUGUGUUCUCUGUUCUCCAAUCCUUCCAUGCAUCGGGGGCAAGCAGCUUCAUUCGUCAAUCUUUUAAUUCGUAGAUUAGCUAGUGUAGGUAGAAAAUUUAAAGUGACUCUCCAGGCUGUAAUAAUUAUUUUUGAAAGGAGGUCACACAUCCACAACUUUUUAAAGCAUUUCCUAUCUUCCGUUUGGUUGUAGCUAUUGGUAAAAUUGCUGUGUAAUAGUAAUUUGUAGCCACUCUUCACUGUAUACUCGCCUAUUUCUUUGCCUCUCCAUGCCAGAAAAUCCUCGUGUGGGGUAUUGGCUAGCGGAAUUCGGAGGAUUUUUUUGGCAUCUUCUUCAGAAAAAGGUGUUUUUAAUCAACUCUGACUUCCAUGAACUUGUGUUGCUGUCGAUCAAAUUUGCUACCAUCACUAAGUUUGGCCCUCUAACCUUUUGUUUUAUAUACAAAUUGUUGGCAUUUGGUACCCACACAUCAGUUUCAAUUCUAAUGUUGCGCCCAUUACCCACCCUCCAACAUAAUCCUGAUUUCAAAAGCCCCUUUGCUGCCCAAAUACUUUUCCAGGUAUAUGAGGGUGAGUUUCGUA
rnacentral:lncRNA from 1 species